rnacentral:rRNA from 1 species
GUGCCAGCAGCCGCGGUAAUACAGAGGGUGCAAGCGUUGUUCGGAAUUAUUGGGCGUAAAGCGCGUGUAGGCGGCCAAGCAUGUCGGGUGUGAAAGCCCUGGGCUUAACCCAGGAAGUGCGCCCGAAACUACGUGGCUUGAGUGUCGGAGAGGAUGGCGGAACUCCCGGUGUAGAGGUGAAAUUCGUAGAUAUCGGGAAGAACACCAGUGGCGAAGGCGGCCAUCUGGACGACAACUGACGCUGAGACGCGAAAGCGUGGGGAGCAAACAGGAUUAGAUACCCUGGUAGUCC